rnacentral:rRNA from 1 species
GAUGAACGCUGGCGGCGUGCCUAAUACAUGCAAGUCGAGCGAACAGACGAGGAGCUUGCUCCUCUGACGUUAGCGGCGGACGGGAGAGUACCAAGUGGAUAACCUACCUAUAAGACUGGGAUAACUUCGGGAAAUCGGAGCUCAUACCGGAUAAUAUAUUGAACCGCAUGGUUCAAUAGUGAAAGACGGUUUUGCUGUCACUUAUAGAUGGAUCCGCGCCGCAUUAGCUAGUUGGUAAGGUAACGGCUUACCAAGGCAACGAUGCGUAGCCGACCUGAGAGGGUGAUCGGCCACACUGGAACUGAGACACGGUCCAGACUCCUACGGGAGGCAGCAGUAGGGAAUCUUCCGCAAUGGGCGAAAGCCUGACGGAGCAACGCCGCGUGAGUGAUGAAGGUCUUCGGAUCGUAAAACGCUGUUAUUAGGGAAGAACAAAUGUGUAAGUAACUAGGCACGUCUUGACGGUACCGAAUCAGAAAGCCACGGCUAACUACGUG